rnacentral:lncRNA from 1 species
AGGGCAAAAGAGAUGGAGUUUUGGAGAUGCACCUAGAGCAUGAGUGGAGUGUUGAGUGUCUAGGCAUGGUUGGGGAUUCCCCACUCCCCAGCAAGUGGUGAACACAACAUGACAUGAUUUAUGGAGUUUUUGAGAGAUUGGAGUCAUGCUUUCUUUCUUUCUUUCAUGAGAGAUUUUCCUUUUAUGGGUCUCUAGAAUGCUCGGUUGGCUAUCUAAGUACAUGACACAGCUAAGCACGGCCAUAGCUAGGAAAGCAAAAAUUUCUUUUCUUUUGGAUCUUUCUUGAGGGUUUUCUUGGGUGCAUUUGCUUUUGGACCAGAACUCUCAUAGAAAUAGUCAUGAUUUCAUACGGUGUUUGUGGUGGUGAGUAGCUUAGGAACUCUUCUUUCCAACAAGCUAUGCCGCAAUAGCAGAUUUGGCUGAGAGAGUGCAUGCAAAGUGUUUUUCUUCUCUUUACCCUCAAUGUGCAAUGUUCUAGCAUCAAUUUCUUGUAUUGUAGGGAGCAGAUUUGCAUGGGAAUGUAGAAGCUGGAAAGCUUAGGCUCUGCUCUUUGUUUUGAAGUGCGUCAAACUCAGGGAUUCUUCGAGAAAGCAUCCAUGCAGAGAGCUUUUCUUUCAUCUCACGUGAUUCUUUGUCUUUGGGAGAGAGAUUCCUAGCAUUUGAGGGUUUCUUACCUCUUUUUCUCCUCAUGGGUUUCUUGAGCACUUUCUCAAUAUUCCAGUGAGUUCAUUCUUACCAAAAUUGGCACAUGGAGUCAACGGUGAGAACCAUUUUCCCUUUCUCAAACUUUGGAGGGUGAUAAUUUGUGAUUUGCUG